UCUCGGCGACUCUCGCCCUCUUCUUCCUUCUCACCAAUGCCUCCAUCUACCGAACGGUCGUAGAAGUCGAGGAAGAUGAUGCCACAAACCCAGCCGGCCCAUUUCGGAUUCCGAAAUGUAGGAAGGAGUUUCAGCAAGCACAACACCUAAGAGCUUGCCAGCAAUGGCUCCACAAGCAGGCAAUGCAGUCCGGUAGUGGUCCAAGCUGGACCCUCGACGGUGAGUUUGAUUUUGAAGACGACAUGGAGAACCCUCAGAGCCCACAGCAGAGGCCACCGCUACUCCAGCAGUGCUGCAACGAGCUCCACCAGGAAGAGCCACUUUGUGUUUGCCCAACCUUGAAAGGAGCAUCCAAAGCCGUUAAACAACAGGUUCGACAACAGCAAGGACAGCAGGGACAGCAGCUGCAGCAAGUAAUUAGUCGUAUCUACCAGACUGCUACGCACUUACCUAAAGUUUGCAACAUCCCUCAAGUUAGCGUUUGUCCCUUCCAGAAGACCAUGCCUGGACCCUCCUACUAGAUUCCAAACGAAACCCUCGAGUGUAUGAAUGUGGUUGUCGGUAUAUGUCAACGCCACACUUCAUCGCGUAAUAUGUAAGGUCUUAUCUAGGAUGUUUGAGGCUAUGUAAUUAGCACUACUCCAUAAUAAAAGAGGNNNNNNNNNNNNNNNNNNNNNNNNNNNNNNNNNNNNNNNNNNNNNNNNNNNNNNNNNNNNNNNNNNNNNAAAAAAUAUUUUGAUAAGCGAAAAAUUAAAAUCAUGUAAUUAUAAACAGUUUUAAGUGAUAUAAAUUAAAAUAUAACAAAAUUGAAUUGUUUUCAACAUAGAUGAGUGUAGGUAGUGAAUCAUGGUAUUCUUUGGUCUAGGGUUUGACAACAUAUGUUGUAGUAUUGUAUGUAUACUUAGGGUUAGAUUUUGGAAAGCUUGAAUGUUUUUUUGAAAAAUUAAUUUUUUACCUAUGCAUGUUUAUUUUUGUGUAUAGUAAAUACUUUUGAAGUUUAAUUUGGUUUUAUGAAGUGUUUAGUUAGUUAAUUAAGUUUAGGGGUAAUGUUUAUGAUCUAGACUACUUACAUUUCAGUCGUAUGGUGAAGAAAUUAAAACAGACGACUUACAUGUAAGUCGUCCAAAUAUUUCCGCCUAAAAUUUUUUUAAAAAUUAUUUUCCCGCUUAAAUAAUAUAAACCAGACGACUUACUUGUAAGUCGUCUAGAAAGUGUUCUAUUUUAGUUUCUCACUAAAAAUAUUUUAAUUUCCCGCUAAAAAUAUUAAAACCUUCUGGACGACUUACAAGUAAGUCGUCUGAAUCAAACAUAUUUAACCUAAUUGAAUUUUUUGUCUCCCUAUAUAAAGAAAAAUUUACACAUUUUCUCUCCUCCUCUCAAAUGGCUGCAACAAAAAUGUAAUGUUCAUCACUCUAAAAGUCUUCAACCUCUCUCUAAUCUUUUUGACUUGAAAACACCAAACUUUAUAUGAAUUUUUCAGUUUUGUCUCAUGUCUUUCUUAAUAAUCUAUCUUUUUUGCAGGUUUUUAAUCAGAUGGUACUCAUCUUCCACUCAUUUAAAGGUAGAUCUAUUAAUUUUAGAUAUAUAUUUUUGUGUGUUCUAUAAAGGUAGAUUUAUCUAAUCUUCCACUCAUUUUCUCUAUUUUUAAGUCAUUUGAACGUUUUUGGAUAUGCAGGUUUUUCAGAUCUGGAUUUGAUAUGCAGGUUUUUCAGAUCUGGAAGACUUCUAUAAUGUUCUUGAUCGAUCACCGGUUUUUGAUGGUAUAUUACAAAGUCGAGCUCCAAAAGUUAAUUACAUUGUCAACGGACAUGAGUACCAUUUGGCUUACUAUCUCACAGAUGAUAUUUAUCCAAAAUGGGUUACUUUUGUCCAAUCUAUUCCACUCCCGCAAGGUCUGAAAGCAUCCUUAUUCGCUACACAUCAAGAAGCUGUAUGUAAAGAUGUCGAGCGUGCUUUUUGGGUCUUACAAGCUCGAUUUGCCAUAGUAAAAAAUCCAGCUCUUUUGUGGGAUAAAAUAAAAAUUGGAAAGAUAAUGAGAGCAUGUAUCAUUCUACAUAAUAUGAUCGUAGAAGACGAACGAGAUGAGUACACUCAGUUUGAUGUAUCAGUUUUCGCACAACCAGAAUCAAACCGAAGUUCACAAGUGGAUUUCACGUAUUCUACAGAUAUGCCUUCAAAACUCGGCAAUAUGAUGAGCAUUCGGAAUCGAGUUCGUGAUAAUACAAUACAUCAACAAUUGAAAGCGGAUUUGGUUGAGCAUAUAUGACAAAAAUUUGGAACAAUCAAGAUUUCAACUAAUCGGUUUUUUCUCGUUUACGAUUUGUAUUUGUAUUUUUAAUAUGCUUUUAUGUCAUUUUUAUUAAGAAUUUUAAUGUAUGAUUUUAUUUUUAAUCAUUCUAUUUAAAAAUGAAUUAUUUAAGAACCCCUUGGGGUUCUCCCAUUGGGAGAGGAAUACAUAAUUUCCUCAAACAAAGGUUCUUUAACUACUCAAAUCACUUUAUUAAAUAUUAAUUUACUCCUAAAAACCCAUUAGAGGUUCUAAUGGAUGGACUUGCUCUUAACGAUCCCGAAUUACAUAGUUAUGUGUUCUCACACUUUCUCUUACAAGUGUUUUUAACCGCUUGCUUAAACUUUAAAUUUUAGUUUACCAUGUAAUUAAUUAUGAUCAGUGCCAUUGUGUGAUUCCUUUUUCUUAAAUAUCUUAACUUGAAUUAACUAAAUGUUUAAAAGGAAAUUCGUUUUUUAUAAAAAAUAUACAAAAUGUCAGAAUAUGAACUACACAUCAUACAUGCAUGGUUGCAUGGCAUGUAGACGCGGAAACUUGUCACUCCUCCACAUUUGAGAUUCCAACACCUAAUCGCUACAAAAACCUUAUAGAUUCUCCCUUUCUCACAAACAAACAAACACAUUCAUGCAAUGUUACACGUGAUCUCCAUGCAGAACAUCUUUCACGCCUAUAAAUACCAACCAACACUCCACUUCCCUCUUCACUCAAACGAAAACAAGCAAAAAACAUACACACAAAUAGCAAAUGGCCAACAAGCUCUUUCUCGUCUCGGCGACUCUCGCCCUCUUCUUCCUUCUCACCAAUGCCUCCAUCUACCGAACGGUCGUAGAAGUCGAGGAAGAUGAUGCCACAAACCCAGCCGGUCCAUUUAGGAUUCCGAAAUGUAGGAAGGAGUUUCAGCAAGCACAACACCUAAGAGCUUGCCAGCAAUGGCUCCACAAGCAGGCAAUGCAGUCCGGUAGUGGUCCAAGCUGGACCCUCGAUGGUGAGUUUGAUUUUGAAGACGACAUGGAGAACCCUCAGAGCCCACAGCAGAGGCCACCGCUACUCCAGCAGUGCUGCAACGAGCUCCACCAGGAAGAGCCACUUUGUGUUUGCCCAACCUUGAAAGGAGCAUCCAAAGCCGUUAAACAACAGGUUCGACAACAGCAAGGACAGCAGGGACAGCAGCUGCAGCAAGUAAUUAGUCGUAUCUACCAGACUGCUACGCACUUACCUAAAGUUUGCAACAUCCCUCAAGUUAGCGUUUGUCCCUUCCAGAAGACCAUGCCUGGACCCUCCUACUAGAUUCCAAACGAAACCCUCGAGUGUAUGAAUGUGGUUGUCGGUAUAUGUCAACGCCACACUUCAUCGCGUAAUAUGUAAGGUCUUAUCUAGGAUGUUUGAGGCUAUGUAAUUAGCACUACUCCAUAAUAAAAGAGGAUUUUAGUGUUUUAUUCGGUGUGCAUGCUCUCUAAGUGGUUCAAGAUUUUAGUUUUCAAGCAAAUUCCAAUCAAAAUUGUGCGUUACUUACAUCGGCUGUUUAACGGCGUGCAAAACACCGAUCGAACUGAUCUACGAGGGCAUAUGCCAUCGUUCAAUCUCUGACCAAGUCUCUUACAAUAAAUUAAUGAAUAAUAAUACUAAUUAAGCAAAAAGAGAGAGAAGUGAACGAUCAGCUCUUCAGACCACCUCCAGGACCCCUAAUGGGUACUGAAAAUUAAAUUAGUGUUUAAUUUAGUGAUUUGAAAGGUUUAGAACCUCUAUUAAUCUAUUUAAUUUUUUCAUCUUCUAUUGGUAGAACUUCAUUGAGGUACUUAAAAAAUAAUUUAUUUUUUUUAAAGUUGAAUGAUUUGAAAGACCAUGAUACAUAAAAUUUUCAGGGGAAUUUGUCAAAACUAACCCACAACUUAAUUUUAAUCCCAAACAUAUACUCAAACUUGAAUCAAAUGCAAAGCUAAUAUAAAAGCCUUGUGAAAUUACAGCUCAACCACUUUUUCUAAGUCAUUUUUACGAAUAUAGCCCUAGUAAAUCGUCUGAGUCGUCUGAGAUGUUGGAAGUCGUCUGGACGACUUCAAAUUAAGUCUUCUGGUGUAGUUGAUCUUAAAAAUAACUUUUAAAUUUUUUAAAAAAUAUUUUGAUAAGCGAAAAAUUAAAAUCAUCUAAUUAUAAACAGUUUUAAGUGAUAUAAAUUAAAAUAUAACAAAAUUGAAUUGUUUUCAACAUAGAUGAGUGUAGGUAGUGAAUCAUGGUAUUCUUUGGUCUAGGGUUUGACAACAUAUGUUGUAGUAUUGUAUGUAUACUUAGGGUUAGAUUUUGGAAAGCUUGAAUGUUUUUUUGAAAAAUUAAUUUUUUACCUAUGCAUGUUUAUUUUUGUGUAUAGUAAAUACUUUUGAAGUUUAAUUUGGUUUUAUGAAGUGUUUAGUUAGUUAAUUAAGUUUAGGGGUAAUGUUUAUGAUCUAGACUACUUACAUUUCAGUCGUAUGGUGAAGAAAUUAAAACAGACGACUUACAUGUAAGUCGUCCAAAUAUUUCCGCCUAAAAUUUUUUUAAAAAUUAUUUUCCCGCUUAAAUAAUAUAAACCAGACGACUUACUUGUAAGUCGUCUAGAAAGUGUUCUAUUUUAGUUUCUCACUAAAAAUAUUUUAAUUUCCCGCUAAAAAUAUUAAAACCUUCUGGACGACUUACAAGUAAGUCGUCUGAAUCAAACAUAUUUAACCUAAUUGAAUUUUUUGUCUCCCUAUAUAAAGAAAAAUUUACACAUUUUCUCUCCUCCUCUCAAAUGGCUGCAACAAAAAUGUAAUGUUCAUCACUCUAAAAGUCUUCAACCUCUCUCUAAUCUUUUUGACUUGAAAACACCAAACUUUAUAUGAAUUUUUCAGUUUUGUCUCAUGUCUUUCUUAAUAAUCUAUCUUUUUUGCAGGUUUUUAAUCAGAUGGUACUCAUCUUCCACUCAUUUAAAGGUAGAUCUAUUAGUUUUAGAUAUGUAUUUUUGUGUGUUCUAUAAAUGUAGAUUUAUCUAAUCUUCCACUCAUUUUCUCUAUUUUUAAGUCAUUUGAACGUUUUUGGAUAUGCAGGUUUUUCAGAUCUGGAUUUGAUAUGCAGGUUUUUCAGAUCUGGAAGACUUCUGGGACGACUUACCUGUUAGUCGUCUGGAAGUCGUCUGGAAGUCGUCUGGACUUCUUGGAAGUCUUCUGACAAAGUCGUCUGGACUUCCAGGAAGUCGUCUGGACUUCGACGAAGUCGUCUGGACUUCCAGGAAGUCGUCUGGACUUCCAGGAAGUCGUCUGGACUUCCAGGAAGUCGUCUGGACUUCCAGGAAGUCGUCUGGACUUCCAGGAAGUCGUCUGGACUUCCAGGAAGUCGUCUGGACUUCCAGGAAGUCGUCUGGACUUCCAGGAAGUCGUCUGGACUUCAUGGAAGUCUUCUGACGAAGUCUCCCUUUCAUAAUAGAUCUGAGCGUUUUGGUAAGUUCUUAUGUCUGAUUUUUCUUCAUUUGGUAACUUCUUGUUGUAUAAAGUUCUUACUUUUUUCCCAAACUAAAACUCUCCAAACCCACUCUAAUCUCUUUGACUUGAAAACACCAAACUUUAUAUGAAUUUUCCAGUUUUGUCUCAUGUCUUUCUUACUAAUCUAUCUUUUUUGCAGGUUUUUAAUUAGAUGGUACUCAUCUUCCACUAAUUUAAAGGUAGAUCUAUUAUUUUUAGAUAUGUAUUUUUGUGUGUUCUGUAAAGGUAGAUUUAUCUAAUCUUUCACUCAUUUUUUCUGUUUUUAAGCCAUUUGAACGUUUUUGGAUAUGCAGGUUUUUCAGAUCUGGAUUUGAUAUGCAGGUUUUUCAGAUCUGGAAGACUUCUGGGACGACUUACCUGUUAGUCGUCUAAAAUAUAAUGCACUAGACGACUUCCAGGAAGUCUUCCAGACGACUUCCAUUUCAGUCGUCUAGACUUCCUAAAAGUCGUCUAGACUUCCUGGAAGUCAUCUGGAAGUCGUCUGGACUUUCUGGAAGUCUUCUGACAAAGUCUUCUUCCAUAUCAAGUGGAGUCCAAGCUUGUCUUUGUAGAGGAAUGAUCUAUAAUAGUUUUGUUUGUGGUCUGUUUUGUGAAUUGCAUGUCUACUCUUUUAGUUGUGAAUUUUUUGUAAAAUCAGUAAUAAUGUUUUCCAAGAUGUAUUAAAUGUGCUAACAAUGUGUUUACACAUUUACAAAUCAAUGAAAUAAUAAACUUCAGUAGCCUUUUUUUAUCAAUAAUAAACAAAUCAAUGAAAUAAUAAACUUCAGUAGCCCGUCUUCCGCUGAUCCUCUCACCAUUUCUUGCGCAUAUAACAAUGCUCUGUAUGAAGUGGUGUAAUCAAGUGUCAUGCCAAACAUGUUCUUCAUUGCAUCUUUGAUAUGCUGCGGAUUCAACCCAUCAAUGAUUCCAACACGAUCUAUGAAAAGUCGACCAAUGUACUUCGGAGUACAGCGUUUCCGCUGAGCGAUUCUGUCUGGAAUGGAACAUGUAUGAGUUGCCACAUACUUGGUUACCCGAAACGUUUUAGUCCCAUGUUUCACACUUGCUCGGACCUUCCAUUGACAACCACUAACAUGAUAUGUUGCCACAAAGAGAGUUUUCGUUGACUUGAAUAUUCUGAAGGAGAACCUACGCCUCACCGCUGUCAACCGCAACUCUGAAAGCAGUGCAUCCUUACUAGCAAAACUCUGGUUGACAUAGAUUCUGUCUACAGAUGAUCCUUCUCCUUCACAACCAUAUGCCCAAAACAGAUUUCAUCAUCUUCUUCCUCAUCCUCGUCUUUAACCAUUCCAUACUCACUAUAAUCAUCAGCAUCAGCGACAACAGGGAUGUCAGCAUCCUCUUCCCCAUCAUGAUCCUCAGCUUCAUGCCCCUCCUCAGCUUCAUCCCCCUCCUCAGCUUCAUGCCCCUCUUCAGCUUCAUCCCCCUCCUCAGCUUCAUCCCCCUCCUCAGCCUCAUCUCCCACAUGAUCUUCAUCCCUUUUCUCUGAAACCGUUCUCAUCUUGCUAAAGCUUGAUACACAAAGACGUACUUCAUGCAUUUUAGUUAUCUCGAGCAAGUUCUGAACUUGUAUAUCACUUGUAACAUGAAUAGGAGGAAGGUCUGGAGCCAUCUGUUGUAAUGAGUAGGUUAACUCCACAGACUCUAUGAAACUUCAAUCUAAGUACUCAUGAUGACUAAACUAUACGUCGUCUGGUCAACGCAGAGGUUAUUUUUGCAAUUGACUUUGAAAUCUGUUAUUUCAGACGACUGAAAAAUAAGUCGUCUACUUUUGUUUGGUUUAAAGAAAAAACUCCAAAAAAGCUAGACGACUUACAUUUCAGUCGUCAUGGGUUAGUUUUGCAUUUGACUGGAUUAUUUCAGAAGUUUUACUUUCCUGGACGACUUAGAUUUCAGUCGUCUCGUGAAAAUUAAAAUAAUAAUAUUUUUUUUAAAACUAGACGACUUACAAUUAAGUCGUCAUAUGUUAGUUUUGCAAUUGAAAAAGAAAACUUCAAUAUUUAAUUAUAUAUAGAUGACUUACAAUUCCGUCGUCCGUCAGACGACUUACGUGUAAGUCGUCCAGGAUUUACGAGGUUUGACCAGAAUCUCGGAAUAAAAUCCUGGCUGAAUUGUAAGUCGUCUGGGUAUGAUUAAAUAUUGAAGUUUUUUUUUCAAUUGCAAAACUAACCUAUGACGACUUAAUUGUAAGUCGUCUAGUGUUAAUAAAAUAUUGAUAUUUCAAUUUUCACCAGACGACUGAAAUGUAAGUCGUCCGGGAAAGUCAAACUUCUGAAAUAUUCUAGUCAAAUGCAAAACUAACUUAUGACGUCUGAAAUGUAACUGUGUUUGACUUUAAGUUGUAGGUCAAUUCUGCCAAAAGCCUAAAUUUUUAUUAAAAAUGACAUAAAAGCAUAUUAAAAAUGCAAAUACAAACCGUAAACGAGAAAAACAGAUUAGUUGAAAUCUUGAUUUGUUCCACUUUAGUCGUCUGAGAAAACCGAUUUCAAAGUCAAUUGCAAAAAUAACCUCUGCGUUGACCAGACGACUUCAAACUUGAUUCUGAAUGCUCAUCAUAUUGCCGAGAUUUGAAGGCAUAUCUGUAGAAAACGAGAAAUCCACUUCUGAACUUCGGUUUGAAUCCGAAUUUUUGAAAAUUGAAAUAUCAAACUGAGUGUAUCCAUCUCGUUCGUCUUUUACGAUCAUAUUAUGUAGAAUGAUACAUGCUCUCAUUAUCUUUCCAAUUUUUAUUUUAUCCCACAAAAGAGGUGGAUUUUUUACUAUGGCAAAUCGAGCUUGCAUGACCCCAAAACCUGAAAUUGGUUGUUCAUGAUGGUUGGGGUAUUGAUGACAAUGGCAAUAUUGUAAUUACUUGAAGAUGAUGAGGGUGAGAGAGUAAAAAUGUUAUUUUCGAAAAGAAAAAAAAUUGAUGGCAUUUUCGUAAAUUAUAUGAACUUGUGGGGUGAAUAGGGCAAAACCAAUUUCCAAAAAAAAGGAGGUUAGUUCUGUGUUUGACUUUAAGUUGUAGGUCAAUUCUGCCAAAAGCCUAAAUUUUUAUUAAAAAUGACAUAAAAGCAUAUUAAAAAUGCAAAUACAAACCGUAAACGAGAAAAACAGAUUAGUUGAAAUCUUGAUUUGUUCCAAAUUUUUGCCAUAUAUUCUCAACCAAAUCCGCUUUCAAUCGUUGAUGUAUUGUUCUAUCACAAACUUGAUUCUGAAUGCUCAUCAUAUUGCCGAGAUUUGAAGGCAUAUCUGUAGAAAACGAGAAAUCCACUUCUGAACUUCGGUUUGAAUCCGAAUUUUUGAAAAUUGAAAUAUCAAACUGAGUGUAUCCAUCUCGUUCGUCUUUUACGAUCAUAUUAUGUAGAAUGAUACAUGCUCUCAUUAUCUUUCCAAUUUUUAUUUUAUCCCACAAAAGAGGUGGAUUUUUUACUAUGGCAAAUCGAGCUUGCAUGACCCCAAAACCUCGCUCGACAUCUUUACGUACAGCUUCUUAAAGUGUAGCGAAUAAAGAUGCUUUUGGACCUUGCGGAAGUGGAAUAGAUUGGACAAAAGUAACCCAUUUUGGAUAAAUAUCAUAUGUGAGAUAGUAAGCCAUUUGGUACUCGUGUCCGUUGACAGUGUAGUUAACUUUCGGAGCUCGACCUUGUAAUAUAUCAUCAAAAACUGGUGAUUGAUCAAGAACAUUGAUAUCGUUUAAUGUGCCUAGAGGUCCGAAAAACGCGUGUCAUAUCCAGAGGUCUUGUGAAGCUACAACCUCUAGAACAAUUGUUGGCUUUCCUGAUCCACGUGUAUAUUGUCUUUUCCAUGCGGUUGGACAAUUCUUCCACUCCCAAUGCAUACAAUCAAUGCUUCCUAUCAUCCCGGGAAAUCCGCGUAGCUCUCCAAUAUCGAGUAGUCGUUGAAGAUCUUCUGGAGUGGGUCUUCUUAGAUACUCAUCUCCAAAUAAAUUUAUGAUUCCUUGAACAAAAUGUUCUAAGCAUAAAAGCGCGGUAGUCUCACCAAGUCAGAGGUAUUCGUCGACCGCAUCAGCUGGGCAACCAUAUGCCAUCAUACGAAUUGCUGCCAUUUUCUUUUGUAACGGAGAGAGACCGAACCUUCUAGUAGCAUCUCCUCUUUGUUGAAAGUAUGAUAUUUCAGCGGAGAGUCGAUCAACAAUACGCCUGAACAAGGAUUUGUUCAUUCGAAAACAGCAUUGAAACAUGUGCGAAGGAUAUGUUGCAUCUUCACUAAAAUAAUCGUUCCAUAACUGCAUGUGUCCUUGUUCUCGUUGUCUUUCAAUGUAUGCUCGUUUAUUUUUUGGCGUUGAUGUUUCUUGACGAUCUUCAUAACGAGUGAGAAGAUUUUCAAAUUGUUGAUCGAAAAUUUGGUCCAAUCUCUCCUCCAUCAUAUCUUCGUAAUUAUUAUUAGAAGAAGAAGCCAUUUAGAAGAGAAAUGGUAAAUGAAUUUUUUUUUUUUUUGUAUAAAAGAAAUGUUGGAUGUUGUUUUCUUGUACGAUGGAAAGAGAAGGGAGGUAAACAAAUAAAAGAGCUUCAAACUUGUUCUUCUACACUCAGAAAAAAAAGAAACAAAGGAAAUAUUUUUUUUUAAUAUGGUAUAAGAGAAAUGUUUGAUGUUGUUUUCUUGUACAAUGGAAAGAGAAGAGGGGUAAACAAAUAAAAGAGGUUCAAACUUGUUCUUCUACACUCGGAAAGAAAAGAAGCAAAGGAAAAUUUUUUUUUAAUGGUAGAAGAGAAAUGUUCUUUUACACUCGGAGGAAACACAACUUAGAAAGGAAACACAAGUUGCUUUACAACUUGCAAACCAGCUAUGCAGCACGUUGGUUUUCUUGUACUGUCUUCUUGUCUUUACAAGUCACAUGUUCCUGUCUUCUUGUUCUGUCAAUGCACUGGAUGAUCCACAUGCUACUUUAUGUCACACGCUCUUCUUGUCUUCUUUAUGUCACAUGCUAUUGUCGCUUUACCUGCACAAGCACGAGACAAGUCUCAGUACAACACGAGAGAACAACACACACGUCUCAGUACAAUACACGAGAGCAACAGAAGAACACACACAAUUUCAUUAAUAUGUCACAUGCUAAUACAAACUCGACAUCAAGCAUAAAGCAACGAGAGAGAGCAAAAGAAGAACACACACAAUUUCAUGCUAAUACAGACUCCAUUAACUAACAGACUCGACACAAACAUCAUAAAGACACAAACAACAUACAUACUUGGCAAUUUCAACACAAAAAUCAUAAGACUCAAACUAACAUAUCAUUAAUAAGCUUGUUUUUUAAGGCAAUUUCGAGUUCAGUUAAUGGUUCAGUCUUGGCAAUGAGGCUAUCAAGCAAUUUUUGCUUGUUAAGAGUUUCCUUCAAAGCAAAAUCCGCUUGCCUAAUCUCCCAGAUGCUCUGAAAUUCCCUCCUCUCCUUCUCUUCCUCUUCCAAAGUAGCUUGCUUCCUCACUGGUUUUUUUCCUUUUGCCUUUGCUGCUUAAACCCCAACUGGCCGACCCAUAGCUUCCUCUCCAUGGCCAUCUUGCACAGAGGAUGAUGAUUGUGUCGUCUGGGCAUCCAACUUCCUUCUUUUAGACUAAACUUUAUCCUUAGUAGAAGAAGCUCCACUCCAUUCCUGAUCAUAACGAAGUUCCAACCAUGCAUGCUCCAUUGUGAACUUCUUCUUGUAAUCAUCAAAGUAAAUCUCGUGAGCCAUUUUCAAGACGUCAUUCUCGUUCUGUCCACUCGAUCUCUGUUUCGUUGCAGCUUCAUAGCACCCAACAAACUUACACACGGCUUCAUUGAUUUUCCCCCACCUUGAUUUACAGUUGUUGUCUCUCUGGGCUGCAAACCAUCGAGCUUGGGACUUGCAGUAUAGUAAGCAGCAAUUCGUUUCCAAAACGUACUUGCUUUCUGCUCAUUCUCAACCACUGCAUCCUUGGAAGUGUUCAACCAAGCACUUAUCAGCACACCAUCUUCUGUUGGUGACCAUUUAUGCCUCUCUUUACGGUCAGACACAGUCUCUGCGUCUUCAUUGCCAUCUUCAUUCCAUUAUGAACAGAAAACAGAGGCAUCAGACGCAGAGACAGACUGAUAAGGCUCACGAGGGACAGACUAAUAAGGCUCAUGAGGGACAGACGCAGAGACUGACUCAUUCCAUUGAGUGUUUGGUUGUUGACUGGUCAAGAAGUUUUGAAAGCUAUAUUGUUGAAUAUAAGGAUCCAUACGAGUUUUGGAGAAGAGGUUUUGAAAGCUAAAAAGAAAGAACAAAAUAGAAGGAAAUAGUUUUGGAGAAGUAAAUAAAUUUGGAGUCAUGGUUUAUAGUUGUUAAAGUUUUUUGUUGUUGAAGUUUUAAUGGAAAGUUUUAAUGGCAAGUUUAAAGUUUGAAGUUGGAGAAGUUUUAAGUUGUUAAAGUUUUAAUGACAAGAGAAUCAAUAUCCCUUUAUUAUUAUUUGAGGAGCAUUAUAGAUAAUUAACUUUUAGUUCAUGUGUUAUUUUCAAAAUUGUCAUUUCCUGCGUGGCAGCACCAUAAACCCUCUCACAUCUUAUAUUCAAAAAUCAUUUGUUAACUAGAUUAAUUACAAUAAUUGUCAUUGCUUGCCAUUGAUCAUUUGAUUAUAAUUUUACUAAUAUACUGUAAGCUUCUUCAUUACAAUGACUAACAAAACAUUGACGUCCAUGUUUAAUGCGUUUUCAUUAUAAUUCAAACUUACGGGCGUAUAGUCAUUUAUUCCCAGAUCCGGUCCACAAAGUUAAUUAUAUAUGAGAUAACGAUUUUGUAGAUGGUAUAAUCCGAUACAUAUAUAACUAAAAUAAGUAUAAUUUAUAACACGUGUAUGUGGACCAUCUAUAAUGAUUCGGAUUAUACCAUUAUGUGCAUAUGUAUCGGAUUUAAUGUAACAAAAUAUUACCGUUAAAAUUAUAAUCUCUUCACAAUGUUAGCAGAACUCUAACAUAUGUUAUAAAUUAUACUUAUUAUAGUUAAUAUUUAAAUAGAGUGAGACAAAAAUAUAUGCACACGUUUUUACAAGUAUUCAUCAUAUAGCAUUUUAUAAUAUGUUAGACAUUAUAUAUAUAAAUGUGAUAUAAGUAUAAUGCCUAACUAUAGUCUAAUUCAAAAAAAUGUCUAACUAUAGUGUCUACAAAUUAAUUUCGUUUAAGGACUUAUCGUAACAAGGGGAUGUCUAACUAUUACGAAAUCACGAUGGCCCAUAUAACUCCGUUUAAGGACUUAUCAUAAUUGUAAUUGUAAACCAUGAUUAAUGAUUGCUACGAAAUCACGACGUCUAACUAUUAAUAUUAAAAAGAAACAUGAUUUGCAAUAACUUUGUUCAAAUCUGGGUGAAAGUUAAAAAGACACUUCUAAUAACGUUGCAAUAUAUAUGAUAUAUAUGAAAGUUGAAAGGAAACUUCUAAUAAUUUUAGUUGUUCUAUCUCUUAAUGAAACGUGAUUUGCAAGGACAACCGUAAUUAAUGAUUGUUAAAAGGAAACUUCUAAUAACUUUGAUAUAUUUUUAAAUUACGAAUUUGGUAACGUUUUGGUAAUAAUACUUGAAUCAAAUCCGCCAUUAUUUUUUAUAAAAUUUUGGUAAUAAUAGGGAGUCGAUUAUGGUUACAAAAUUUUGUCAACUAUUAAUAUGUUGUAUAUAAGGAAGUUAUAUUGUGGAUUCAAAUUAUUCGAAUCAAUUAACAAUCGUGAAUUUUAUUUAUUUUGUUCAAUUGUAAUUUAUAAAAGGAAGUUCGAUUAUAGUGUCUACAAAAUUUAGGUAAGUUACGAUUACCAUUGGAGCCCAAGUUAUGUGAAAUUAAAUACAGUAGAACAUCUAUAAAUUAAUAAUGUUGAGAUUUUGAAAUUUAAUUAAUUUAUAGAGAUAUUAAUGUACAAAAGUUUCCUUAUUUAGAUUUUUUAUUUUAAGAUAUAUUUAUUCUAAGAUAAAAAAAAAUAUUUGAUUUUAGUGUAUAAACAUUAAUUAUUAUUUUUUGAAAAUUCACAUUUAUAUUAAUUUUAUUAUAUUAUUUGGUGUAUAUAAUAUAUAUCGCAUAGAAGUUAAAUGUGCUUUUAGAUAUAAUAUUACUAAAUCUCAUCAAAAUUUAUUAAGUGUUAAGAAAAUAUAAAGAUAAUUCUAUUGUGAAUAUAAAACAAACAAUAUAAUAGUAGGUUCUUACUUAUAUAAAAUAUGUAUAUAUAGAAAUUAUUAAUUUAUAAUUUUAAUGGGACCAUAUAUUUACAUAGAAUUUUCUAAAAAAUUAUUAUCUUAUUAUUUUAUCUAUUGUGUCAAAUUUUGAACCGACCCAAGUUGGGAUCGGCAAAAUUUAUUAAUUUAUAGAGAUUAUUAAUUUAUUGAGUAUUAAUUUAUAGAGGUUCUAGAGUAUGUAAUAAUAUAUUUAAUUACAGUGUAUCAUUAAUCACAUGGGCGCUGCCUUCUUAAUAUAAAUAUAUGUUCUCUAAAAUUCAUCGACUCACCACACACUUCUUCUCGACUUCCUAAUUAUCAAAACAUUCUCUGGAGCAAACAAAUGGUUGGCUUUAACUCCGUUUCAGAAAGUGGUAUAUCAGUUCGUUUAGUGAAUUUUUUAAGUAUGUAUGUUUUGUUCGGUAAACUAAUUCUUAGUUAUUUCUCUCUAUAGGAUUGCAAACCAGAAGUUCUGAAGACCCUUUAUCAGUUUUUUAUUUGUUUCCUUGUAAUUUGUUUCUUUCGUAUUUUAUUUUUCUAUUACUUAUGUUUUAAAUAUUAUAAUCAUAAUUUUAUUUAUGAAAUCAAUAAUUAUAUUUCCUAUGUUUUGUUUUGUCUUAAAUUCAUAAUAAAUUAAUAAAAGUUAUUGCAUACUAUUAUAUAUUUUUUACAUAAAAUAUAUCUAAUUUACACAUAACCAACUACAAAAAACAAUCUUUUUCAAAAAAAAAACAAUAUUUUUCAAAAAAAACACUUAAGAUUACAUUAUAUUCACACUUUCGUUCCAUAUAUAUCAUUAGAUCUAAUAUUUUUGUCUAUAACUUUAAAAUUUCUAAUAUCUGUAAAAUUAUUUAAAAAAAUUUCUUUUGAUCAUUCACUCCGCGUAUGGCGUGGGUUAUCACUUAGUGUAUACGCUAAAACAACCACGCAACCUAAAUAUCAAAACUAAAGUUCAUUUAAUUCUCAACCAUUUUCUAAAUCACGUAAUCAAUAUCAUGCUCACCAUUAAAAGCAAAUCUACUUAGACAGAAAAUCUACCUUACCUCUUCUUAACUCUGAAAUUAAAAGACAUAAGCUUUGAUGACCAUGAAUCCAUUGCCUUUCUUCCACAACCAACAAAGAAAGUAAAAUUAAAAGUUAUUCUCUGUAAAGAAAUAAAAUGAGUCAAAUUACACAGUAAGAGUAAUGUGACAAAUAUCAUAUGAUAUCGGCGAUGACUUUGGCGAAAGCGAUUUUUAGGGUUCCAAGAUGAUUUUUUCACGGUGGCGAGUUAUGGAUCGGCGACGGAUCCGAGAGGGUGGAGAGAGGGCUUUAUGCUAUAGGGAAGCUGAGGAGGAGUCUCGGGUUAGUGAGGGAUUUUGUGGGUUUAAUCGAUCUCGGGAGAUCUGGUUAGGUGAUUUGAGGGGUUGCGAUAAUCUCUUACAAGGAUUGGACUUGGUAAUCUUCAUUUUACGAGGAGGAGAGGCUACAAGGGAUGAGGAGGACAGGGAAACUUUUGGUACUAGAUCGGGAUUUGGAUUGAUGGUCAUUUUCCGGAGUGGUUUGCGGUUCCUAGGUUGGAAGAGAGGAGAUAGGGGUGGAUCGGGUAGGAAGGGUCCUGUGCUGCUGAUCACGUAUUCUUGGAUGACAAGGAGUUUUCAAACUUUCACUAUAUUAUUCCCAACUCAAGGCUUAAUAAAGGACACAAGCAGAAGUGAGCAGGUUCUCAUUGCUGCUUUUGGAAGGGUAGUGUUCUACUUUGCUUGGACACGAGAUAGCUUUACAAUCAGGUUUUACUAUUUAUAUGCACUGUUUGCUUGGCAUGAUGCUUAUUGGUAUGAGGAUAUAAGAAAAGUGUUUCAAGCUCGAGGAUGGUAUCUUGCGUCUUUAAGUUCGGUGAUAUUGGUUUCAUUAGACAAGAAUAUGGAGAGGAGCCAGUUCGGCCAAGUGACAAUGGUCACUGUAAUGGGUGUGGGGUCUGCUUUGAAUGACAUGGGGUUAAUGCGAUGGUCUCAGGGUGCUAAUGAGGAGGAUUUUUUCUUAUCUCAUGAUUGGGUUAAAAGGCUUAUGUGUCUUAGUGGUUCCGUACAUUUUGUUUUCAUAUUUUUAAUUUUUUGGGUAAUGUUUACUAAUGCAGUUUUACUUGGAUGUUUUGGACUUUAUGGGAGCCAAAUAUGGUAUGCUUGGGUUUUAAAAGGGUGCUUACUAAUUUGUAGUUUGCUUGGGGGUUGGAAUGCAUGGAAUAAAUUUGUUGACUUUGGUGUUUGGAUUUGUUUCAAAUCGUUGCAACGAAGGGAUCAGAAUUUUUUACUUAUGCAAUUUGAUGUUCAUGGGAGGGAAAUAAAGGAGUUGGUACAUAUGUGUUUUGUUGGUUUUGGGAUGUGGCUCGGGACAGAGCAGAACGCUUUGGCUGCACGGACUCGAGGCCUGCGGCUGGUCUCUUUAAACCAGUUGCAGAGAGUUUCUUUGGAGAGGCUUAAAGUGCUCGUUUUGGGAACAUACAGUUCAGUCAUUGUUAUUGGUUCAGGAGCUUCCACAGACUUAUAUAUGUCGUACGUGAAGCGUGUGAUUUAUCUGUUUGGUUUCUUUAUUAUAGUUUAUAUGUUUGGUUUCUCUAUUAUGGUUUUUAUUGGACCCAAUUUAAAGGGUGAGGUUGAGCUGGACAUAAUGUAUAGACUUGGAAUGGAGCAAGGGUCUAUUUUUUUCAUAUUGAAGCUGUUUACUAUGACGGUUAAUUUGGGAGUUCGGUGGAUUAUUGCUUCUUGGUGGUUGGGAUUUCAGGGUAUCAUCAAACCUAAUUUCGCUAAACUCUUGGGAGUUUUUAUUUAUAACUUUAAAUGAGAGUGCUUAGUUGGAAUUGUAGAGGUAUGGGAAGCAAGUGGACUAUGAGCUAUCUAAGAGAGAUAUGGUAUAAACAUAAACCGGAUUUUUUAUUUUUAUCUGAAACAAAACAAGACUCAAAAUUUGUUCAAGAUUUCCAAGCACAUAUUGGAUUUGAUAAUUUGUUCACGGUUGAUCCAUUGGGAAGGAGUGGUGGUUUAGCGCUUUUUUACAACAAUGAUUCUCAGGUCCAAGUCUUAUAUUCUAGUAAUAGAAUGAUCGAUGUGGAAGCGGUGACCCACGGAAAGACGGUUUAUCUUACGUUUGUGUAUGGUGAUCCUGUUCCAAAAUUAAGAGAACAAGUGUGGGAACGUUUGACGAGAUAUGGACUUGCGCGUUCAGAACCCUGGUUCAUCAUUGGGGAUUUAAAUGAGAUUACUGGAAAUCAUGAAAAGGAUGGAGGAUCACUGAGGAGUGCGGAUUCUUUUAUUCCUUUUAAUAAUAUGAUAAGGAAUACUGGGUUAUUGGAAUUUCCGGCACGGGGAAAUAAAAUGUCAUGGCAAGGGAGAAGGGGAAAAGGAAAAGGGGCAGUUACGGUAAGAUGUCGUCUAGAUCGAGCUUUAGCAAAUGAGGAGUGGCAUACUUUGUUUCCAUGUUCUUUUACAGAAUACUUAGGGAUGGUGGCUUCUGAUCAUCGCCCAGUUGUGGCUUAUCUGAAUGAUAAAGUCACUAGGAGAAAAGGGCAAUUUCGGUUUGAUAAAAGAUGGAUUGCACAAGAAGGUCUUUUGGAAUCAAUUACAAUGGGCUGGUCAGAUUAUAGUGCAACAAGGGAAACUGGGAUAGUGGAAAAAAUUAGUAAUUGUCGACAUGAAAUUGCUAAAUGGCGGAAAAAUAAUCCUCCUUAUGGGAAGGACAAAAUUAAUGAGUUACAAAAAGCUCUUGAAGAGGUACAAACAGAUAAUUCUAGAUCUCAAGAGGAUAUUAUCGAGGUCUCAAAGAAGUUGCAAGAUGCAUAUAAAGAUGAAGAGGAGUAUUGGCACCAAAAGAGUAGGAAUACGUGGUAUACAUCUGGGGAUCUCAAUACAAAAUUCUAUCAUGCUUUGACUAAGCAACGACGGGUACGUAAUCGGAUUGUGGGUUUAUAUGAUGCUUUGGGAAAUUGGAUUACGGAAGAUAUGGGUGUGGAAAAAGUGGCAGUGGACUAUUUCGAAGAGCUUUUCACUACCACUUCUCCAACGGAGUUUGAUGACUUUCUCACAGAGGUAUCACCAGGUAUUACUCCUCAAAUGAACCAACGUCUGUUAAGAGUAGCAUCAGAGGAUGAGGUCAGAGAAGCCCUUUUUAUGAUGCAUCCAGAGAAGGCACCAGGACCGGAUGGUAUGACAGCUCUUUUCUUUCAACACUCCUGGCAUAUUAUUAAGAAGGACUUGGUGGACAUGGUGAAUAAUUUUUUGGUUACUGGAACAUUGGAUCCGAGGUUAAAUAUUACUAAUAUUUGUAUGAUUCCAAAAACGGAGAGGCCUACAAGGAUGACAGAACUGAGGCCGAUUAGUCUGUGUAAUGUUGGGUAUAAAAUUAUUUCGAAGGUUCUGUGUCAGAGAUUGAAGAUAUGUCUACCUUCUCUUAUUUCAGAAACUCAGUCAGCUUUUGUGCCAGGAAGGUUAAUCUCUGAUAAUAUUCUUAUUGCUCAGGAAAUGUUUCAUGGAUUACGGACGAACAAGGCGUGCAAAGGAAAAUAUAUGGCAAUUAAAACGGACAUGAGUAAAGCUUAUGAUAGAGUGGAAUGGGAUUUUAUAAAGGCUCUCCUACAGAAGAUGGGUUUUGAUUUUCAUUGGAUUACAUUAAUGAUGGAGUGUAUAUCAUCGGUUCAAUAUCGGGUCCUACUUAAUGGACAGCCACGGGGACUUAUCGUUCCACAUAGGGGUUUACGACAAGGGGAUCCUUUAUCACCUUAUUUAUUUAUCCUGUGUACUGAGGCUCUAAUUGCAAAUAUUAAAAAGGCGGAAAGAAGGAAACUUUUGACGGGAAUGAAGGUAGCUAGAGCAUGUCCAUCGAUAUCUCAUCUGCUUUUUGCGGAUGAUAGUCUUUUUUUCUGUAAAGCUUUGAAAGAGGAAUGCCAUACUAUCCUUAGGAUCUUAAAGGAAUAUGAGGUUGUAUCAGGUCAGCUUAUAAACUUUGAUAAGUCCUCUAUCCAAUUCGGGCACAAUAUUGAGGAAUCAACUAGACAGGACUUAAGAGAUAUAUUGGGAAUUCAGAAUCUUGGAGGUAUGGGAUCUUAUCUAGGUCUUCCAGAAAAUUUGGGAGGAUCCAAGAUACAGGUUUUUAGCUUUGUGCAGGACCGGCUAAAUAAUAGGGUUAAUGGUUGGACUUUUAAGUUCUUCACAAAGGGAGGAAAAGAAGUGAUUAUUAAAUCUGUGGUAACGGCAUUACCAAACCAUGUGAUGUCUGUUUACCGUUUACCUAAGGCAACAACUAAAAAACUGACGACCGCGGUCGCACAAUUCUGGUGGAGCCCAGGGGGAAGGACAAGAGGUAUGCACUGGAAAUCAUGGGAUAAAGUGUGUCUUGAUAAGGAAGCUGGGGGCUUAGGUUUCAAGGAUAUUACAGAUUUUAAUACAGCAAUGCUUGGUAAACAGUUGUGGCGCUUGAUCGAGAAGCCAAAUACAUUAUUUUCCCGGGUUUUUAAGGGACGGUAUUACAGGAAUGCAUCACCCCUGGAACCGAUUCGCUCUUAUUCUCCGUCAUAUGGUUGGCGGAGUAUAGUUUCUGCUAGAUCUCUGGUAAGCAAAGGACUAAUCAAAAGGGUGGGAUCAGGAUCAUCUAUAUCUGUAUGGAACGAUCCAUGGCUCCCAACCACUCGCCCGAGACCAGCAAAUAAAAAUCAACAUAUUUUCGAUCCAAACCUCACAGUGGAUUCUCUUAUUGACUCUACUUCGCGGACAUGGAAUUCGCAUGCACUCAGGGCUAUGAUAGAUCCCCAGGAUGUAAAAAUUAUAGAAAGUAUACCACUGAGUAAAACCCAGAUGGUGGACAGGGAUGGAUGGCAUUUCACAAACAAUGGGAAGUAUACGGUUAAAUCAGGAUAUCAGAUCGAACGGGUUUAUCCAGACAGGGAAAGACCACCUUUAAAGUUUGGACCCACGGUUGAUGCUUUGAAGGCUUUCUGCUGGAAAAUACGGUGCCCCCCAAAGUUAAAACAUUUCUUAUGGCAAUUGGUUACAGGUUGUAUAGCAGUCAAGAAGAAUCUGAAAGCGAGAGGAAUACAAGGUGACACCUGCUGUGCACGUUGCGGAGCGGAGGAGGAAUCGAUCAAUCAUGUGUUUUUUGAAUGUCCUCCUGCACUUCAGGUUUGGGCUCUCUCCAAGAUACCAUCAAAUCCAACUAUGUUCCCAACGAGUUCCCUUUUUACAAAUAUGGAUCAUCUCUUCUGGAGAGUCUCUCCCCCGAUGGAGGACCAUCAAUUUGCAUGGAUACUUUGGUAUAUUUGGAAAGGAAGGAACAAUAAAGUGUUCAGUAAUAUGGACAUGGAUCCAAGAGACACGCUCAAAUUAGCAGAAACAGAGUCAACACUUUGGGCUAAUGCACAUGUAUUGACCGAGACCAGGAUAGGGUCCCAUGUUGAGGUUACGACUCUCCCAUCAAUUCCGGGGAGAUGGUGUUUUACAGAUGGUUCUUGGAAGGAGAAUGAAGUUUUCUCUGGGCAAGGUUGGCUAAGUACUUUAGAAGGCUUUGAUGGGUUGUUAGGAGCAAGGAAUGUCCGAGCUUGUCUAUCCCCUCUACAUGCGGAGAUAGAAGCACUACUUUGGGCAAUGGAAUGUAUGAAAAAUUUACGCCAGUUUCAGGUUACAUUUGCAACGGAUUGUUCUAAGUUGGUGAAGAUGGUUUCGGAACCAGAAGAAUGGCCCGCAUUUGCAAGUUAUUUGGAAGAUAUUAAGUCCCUGAAAGAGGUUUUCACACGUUCGGAGAUUAUCUAUGUACCAAGGAUGCAAAAUUCAAGAGCGGAUAGCCUAGCACGCAGUGCCAGGAAACAACCGUUGUUUGUCGUUCACAUGGAUCAAAAUCUACCGGAGUGGUUUACAGAGUCAGUAUGAGUCUGUAUUUGAUGACAAAAAAAAAAACGUAAAAUUUUAUAUUUUCAUAGAGUUUUUUUUAAAAAAAAAAAAAAAAAAAAAAAAAAGAAAUAAAAUGAUCAAAUAUAUAUAAAAAAUUAUCGAUAAUAUAUACAAAUUAUAUACAAAUAAGCUUAUCAUGCGCAUGGUGCAAGUUUUAUCCUAGUUACAUAUCGAAUGAGACGCAUUUAAUUUUGACCAUGACUAUAUAUAUCAACUUUAACUCAAUAUUUCUGAUUAAGCUCCCAAUAUAUAUUUUCAACUACCUCCAGAGUAUAUAGACUCUCAUCCCACUUAAUGAAUGUUUUUAUUUUAUUUUAUGAAGUUAAGUUUUUACCUUCUUUUUUAAAAAAAUAUCGUUCAUAAGAUGUCACGCCAGGACAUGAACUACACAUGCGUCACACAUAGCAUGCAGAUGCGGACGAUUGUUUUUGUUCGUCAUUUGUCAAUCACUUCAAACACCUAAGAGCUUCUCUUUCACAGAACACACACACACACACACAAUCAUAUGCAUGCAUUAUUACACGUGAUCGCCAUGCAAAUCUCAUUUCUCACCUAUAAAUUAACUCCUCAGCUUCACUCUUUACUCACACCAAAACUCAUCAUUACAAACAAGGUUAAACACAUACACAAAUGGCGAACAAGCUCUUCCUCGUCUCGGCAACUCUCGCCUUCUUCUUCCUUCUCACCAAUGCCUCCGUCUACAGGACGGUUGUGGAAGUCGACGAAGAUGAUGCCACAAACCCAGGCGGCCCAUUUAGGAUUCCAAAGUGUAGGAAGGAGUUUCAGCAAGCACAACACCUAAGAGCUUGCCAACAAUGGCUCCACAAGCAGGCAAUGCAGUCCGGUAGUGGUCCUAGCUUGGCCCUCGCCGGUGAGUUUGAUUUUGAAGACGACAUGGAGAACCCCCAGGGCUCACAGCAGAGGCCGCCACUACUCCAGCAGUGCUGCAACGAGCUCCACCAGGAAGAGCCACUUUGCGUUUGUCCAACCUUGAAAGGAGCAUCCAAAGCAGUUAAAUCCCGGGUUCAACAACAGGGACAAAUGCAGGGACAACAGCAGCAGCAAAUAGUGGGCCGUAUCUACCAGACCGCUAAGCACUUACCUAGAGUUUGCAACAUCCCGCAAGUUAGCGUUUGUCCCUUCCAGAAGACCACCCCUGGGCCCUACUACUAGAUUCCAACGAAACCCUCGAGAGUGUAUAUACCACGGUGAUGAGUGUGGUCGUUGAUGUAUGUUAACACUAAAAAGUCAUCGUGUGUGUUUUAUAAAUAAUGUACGUUAAAAUGUUCGAGGCUAAUGUAAUAAGAACUACUCCGUUGACGGUAAUAAAAGAGAAGUUUUUUUUAUACUGUUGCUCCAUCCUAAAAAGUGAUAAUUAACGACAGAUACGCCCAAAAAAACAAAUUAAUAUACUCACAAUGAAUCAGUAGUCUAAUGAACAUGUUAGACUAAAUGUCUAAUUAAGCCGUUUUUGCCAAAAAAAAAAGGGUUCAAAUCGUCCAUUGGGAUCAAACAAUGACUCAAUCAGGUUUGAUCAGAUACUCGAAAUCCUUUUUGAUCGCAUUCUCAUGAAUCCACUGUAAUAUAACGAUUUCCUAUGUUGUAAAGCCUCUUUAGUAGAAAAAUAACGAUAAGCAGCAAUAUAAAUGUAUUUCAGUUUAAGAUUAGCACUACAAGAAAUUUGGGUUUUAAUAGCAGACUAGUAUAGCAUUUUUUUCGAUUGUGCUAUUGUUGACAUACCUCUUACUUUUAGAUAGCGUUUGUGAAAAUGCAAAUACUAUCUUUGGUUGGUCCGAUUUUAGGAGGAACCCCUAUCCCGGAGCCAAUCCCCUAUUGGUCCUGCGUAAAUGUUUUUUCUAAACCUAGUAUACAUAGCAUUUUCAGUUUUGAAACGCAAUGCAUAAUUAAAAUAAUUGAUUUUUCCUUUCACCCUUGUUUCGCUUUCCUACUCACUAUAUUUUAUUUGCCUCCAAAAACCUUAACACUAAAUUUAAACCCUAAAGUUUUAACACAAUCCCUAAACUCUAAAUAAACUUUAAAUUCUAAAAUUUUAACAUUAAAUCUUAAAUUUAACUUCAUAUCUUAAAUAUAAACUAAAAAAUUACUAUUUUCAAAAGUUAAUCUCAAAUCUUAAAUCAAUACUCCAAACCCUUAACCCUCAAACCCUAUACUCAAAACUUUAUUCUAAACUCCAAACUUUAAAUCUAAAUUCAUAUCAAACUUUUCUAAAAUUUAAUACACUACAAUUUUUAACUACAUGCUAGUCUUAACUUAUAUAUAUAUAUAUAUGUGUAUUUUGCAAAUCUUGAAUUUUGGAGUUUAGGGUAUGUUUAGAGUUAAGAUCUAAAUUUAAAUCUGAAAAAAUUCAAGUUUUUAGAACUAUGUACAUAUCUACUUUAAAUGAAUUAAACAUAGAAUUUUAAUCAAACUUAUAAUAAACAUUAAAAUUAAAGAAAGAUUAGAAACAAAAAAAAUCUGUCGAUGUACAACAAGAUAUAGAACCAAAAUACUACCAAAAUAAACUUUACUGUCCAAAGUGAAAAUAAAGUAAAACAACUAAAAGAAAAAAUUCCUAUUGGUUAGUUCAUAAGCACAAGGAUUGAGCUUUUCACCGUCAGAUGACGGGAUCCUCAUCCAAUGGACCAAAAUUAUUUUUUUAUUCAGUUCUGGAAUUUUUUGAGCAAACAGAUCUCAUAUCUUUCGACACAUUCUCUUAGACAACUUCAUCUCCUCAUCUCUUUCUCCUUAGGCUUUAUUCACUACUAGCCCCCUCAUUCUCUUUGCCAAUCUCUGCUCCAUUUCUCUCUACCCUCGCGAGAUCUCUGCUCCAUGACUCAUCUUCUCUCCCUUUGUCGAUUUAUCUUUUCUUCAUCUUCUUCUCUCUUAUCAAGAAUACUAGAUCUAGAAGCAGAGGCUAAGCAUCGAUGUUUCUCACGAUACUGACAAAUCUCAUUCCGCCGCGAGACGCGGCUGAGGUGGUCGACGACUCCGACACUCGCGGUACUCUCUCUCUCUCUCUCUCUCUCUCUCUAUGUUGAAUAUGACUUUUUUGUUUGUUAAGGUGGUCGCGAGCAGAGAUGGUGGUGCGGCGGGUGAGGACUGGAAGAUGAAGAAGACAACGAAGUGCAUGGAUUGAUGCGACAACGAAGCGCAUGGAAGAACACAACGACGAAGGUGGUGGUGCGAUGGGUGAGGAUUGGAAGAUGAAGACUACAACGAAGGUGGUUGUGCGGCGGAGUUUAGUUAGUAAUUAGGUUAAAGCUUAGUUUAGCUUUUGGUUUAUUAUUUAAUUAGAUUUAUUUUUAUAUUUUUGUAAUCCAAUUUAAUUAUAAAUCAAUUUAAGUAAUAAAGAAAUUUUAAAUCUAUGAAUUAAUUUUAAUUAUGUUUUUAUUUUUAAAUAAUUUACUAAAAAUAAAUAUAAAAUAAAUAAUUUUAAUAUAAAUAAUAACAAAAAACAAACACUAUUAAAAAAUGUUUAAUUGCAUACAAAAAAAUGCUAUAAUAUAUGACAAUAAGAUAGCAUCACGAAAAACCGCUAUCUAAUGUGCUUGACCUACUAUGACGGACGAUGAUACAGCGCUUCAUAAACCGCUAUCGUAUCAUUAGAUAGCGUUUUUCGCCCGCUAAGAAAAACUUUUUUUCUUGUAGUGAUAUAGUUGUUUUCAUCACAGCAUAGCAUGAUAAAAAAUGAUCACUUAACAAAUAUAAUGAUUUUGUUUAUCUAAUGCUUGUCUAUUCAAGAUUUAGAACAUUAAUGUGAUGUUUUGUCCACACAUUGAUAACGCAGACACACUUAAGGUUAACUAGAGAUUGAUCCGCACAUCUGCGCGGAUAUUGAUUCUUACAUUUUUAUACAUUGAUAUUUAUUUUUCAUAAUUAAUGUUAUAUAUUUUACAUGGGUCUUAAUAUAACUAAUUGUAUUCAAAUGAUCUAGACCGAAUAGGGUAAUAUUGUUAUUUUUGGUACAAAUAUCCUAAUCGAUUUCAGAUACAUUUGUAAUUUAGAUAUUUUUAGGUUUAUAUACAUCAUUACCAAACUCAUCCAUACCGAGAAGAACCCAACUCAAAAUCCACACAUAAAUUUAUAAUCAAGUGGGACCUAAUUUCAAAAAAAAGCGAUACCCGAAAAGAACAGCCCGUACUUAAUUGGAUAGCCAAUGUUCAUGCGUUACUGAUUUUAUAAACUAAUAAAAAUGACUCUAACUGAUUUUAUAAACUAAUAAAAAUGAUUAUUUCUAUGUGUUUGGUUAAAUUAAGUGAAAUAGAAAGAGUUUUUUAUUUAGUAAAAUAAUUAUAUGGAUUGAAAAAUUAAGUGAUAAAAAAUGUAAUACAUUUUUAUUACAUUGAUUUAAGUUAUUAUUUUAUUCAUAAAAACAUGUCUUUGAAUUAUUUUUUGGCUUCGUAAUUUUCCACCGAUUGAAACUAAAAUAAAUAAAUAAAUUUUAAUAAAACAAACUAAACCGAAAGUUUAAACAUAUGAAAAACUCAGUUAUUUUACAUUUUUGAUUUUAUAAUUGGCACAAAAUUAAUAUUAAUUAACUAAUAAAUAAAAAUCUGCUAUAUUAUUAUUAUGGUAAUAUAAUUAAUGAUGUGAUGUAUUGAUAAGAUAAUAUAAUUAAUGAAAUUGUUAAACUGAGUGAAAUAUGGAAAGACAAUUAAUGUAAUUAUAUUAAUGAAACUAAUAAAAAGACAUUAUACUUCUUUUUUAUACUAUUAUCCAUGUUUUCAAAAAAUUCUUAUUUAUAAUGAUAUUCAUGUUUUCAAACAAUAUCAAAUAGAUACUUCAAUUUUAAUAAUAACUAGAUCUUGAUCCGUGCGUCCGUACGGGUGUUUGCUUUAAUUUGUAAGAACAUUAUAAAAUUCAUAACUAUUUUAAAAAUUAUGGUAUCGUUAUAUAUUAAAGUUUGACUAUUAUUGUAUUUGUAAUAUGAAUAAAGGAAUACUAAUACAUUCAUAUAUUAAUAUUUUUGUUUCAUUGUUUAUUUGAUAUUAUAACCCAAAUAUUAUAGUUAUUUAUAGUAUUGUAUAUUUAAUUCUAUUUCGGUGGUCCAUAAAAAAAUUAGAAAGAAUGUUUACUCAAUCUAUUAGAUCCUUCGUAUUGUAUUUUUUUAUAUAUAUAUUGAAAACAAUUUUAUAAUGGUUGUUGAAAAAUAAAUUUGUAAAAAUUAAAUUUUGAAUACAUGUAUAUUUUUGAAUCAAUUUUUGUUUUGAAUUUUGUUUAAUGAUUAAUUUAGAAAAAUAUGUUUUUAGUUAAUUAGAUUCGAUCAGUUGCACAAAAAAAAGUAAUUAGAUUGAGUCAUUUUUGAAAUCUGGUCGAAACAGAUAAUUUAUAAAAAUAUAAUGGACAUCAAUUUUUUUAAUAACAUAAACCCAUUAUUUUUUUUAAUAUACUGUUAUUCAUAUUUUCACACAACAUUAUAUUUCUUUUUAAUUAUGUUAUUCUUGUUUCCAAGCAUUUCCAAAGGUACUUCUACUUUAAUAAGAUAAAAGAUAUAAUAUUGCAAAAAUAUGUUGUUAUUUAUUUUUUCAUGUCACUAUUAAAUAUAAUAUAUGUCUCAUCAUAUAAUUAAUCGUGUUUUUUACCUACCAUCAUAUAAGUAAUCAUAUAAUUAAUAGUAUUUUAUAUGUAUCAUCAUAUAAAUAAUUAUAAAUAUUAUAUUUUUAAAACUUAAUAUGAAAUAUAAAAAUCAUAAUUUACGUUGGUGAUUGAAAUUGCUUUGUAUUGAAUUUUUCUUAAAUAAUUUAAAACAUUUUUAUAAUGGUUAUAAAAAACAUUUUAGUAAAAUAAAUUUUUGAGUAUAUGUAUAUUUUUGAAUCAAUUUUUGAGAUAAAUUAAUUUUAAAUUAAUAUUUUGAUUUGAAAUAUGUCUAUAAAAUUUAAAUUUUGUUUUAUGAUUAUUUUAGACAAAAAUAUUUUUAAGUAAUUAGAUUGGGCUAGCCAUUUUCGUAUAUUUUAAAGCUGACUCAUAUAUAUUGUUUUCAUAAUAUAAUGAAUUCCCAAUUUUUCUUGAUAACGUAAGCCCUUUACUUUUUUUCUUUAAUAUAUUGUUAUUCAUGUUUCCAAACAACACUAUAUAUUUUUUUAACUUCUAUCUUCUUUUUUUGUCAUCAACGUAUAUACAUACUCAUACAGACUCUGUGAACCAAGCCGGGAGAUGUUGAUCCAUGUGAACGACGAAAGACGGUUGCUUUCUGACACUACGUGCUAGGCUAUCCGCCUUUGUAUUUUGCGUUCUUGGUACAUGGACAAUCUCUGAUCGGAGAAAACUUUCUUUCAGGAAUUUAAUAUCUUCUAAAUAACUUGCAAAAUCUGGUCAUUUUUCUGAUUCCAAAACCAUCUUCACCAAUUGAGAACAAUCCAUUGCAAACGUAACCUGAAAUUGACGUAAAUUCCUCAUACAUUCCAUUGCCUAGAGUAGUGCUUCCAUCUCCGCAUAGAGAGGAGAUAGACUAGCCCGAACAUUCCUCGCCCUCAUCUGCCCAUCAAAACCUUCUAAAGUACUGAACCAACCAUGUCCGGAGAAAACGUCUUUCUCUUUUCAGGAACCAUCUGUGAAACACCAUCUACCUGGAAUUAACGGUAAUGACUAACCUCUACCUGUGAUACUAUCCUCUGUUUCUUUGCUAUAUGCGCUUCAGUCCAAAGUGUGGACUAUGUUUCUGCUAAUUUUAAAUUCUAUCUAUGUUACCAAACAAAAACUUAAAGUACUUCUACUUUAAUAAGAUAGAUAUAAUAUAGAUAUAAGUUAUAUAAAGAUUAAGCACCAACAUUAAGUCAAGUAGUGACCACGUUUAGGUUUCAAGACAACUUCUUCUCUUGUUUCUGGCCUUGGAGGAGAAAAUCACAUCCAAGACUCAAGCGAUAAUUCAACCGCACCGCAGUACCUGCAAAAUAUGUAGAGUUAUUCUUGGGUUCACCCUCAAGAGGUUCACCAACUAAUAGGAUUUCAUUAUUUUAAAUUCGAUAUUUUUUAGAAAAGAAAACAAAAUAUUAUCAGGUUAUAUUAUAUUUUUAAAAUAAAAAAUAGUAGUUACAGAAAAAAAAUUUAAAAAAAUAUUUUUGACGUCGUCAGCAAAACAUUAAACCCUAAAUUCUAAUCCCUAAACUCUAAAUCCGAAACUCUAAACCCUUGGAUAAAUUAUAAACUCUAAAUCAAAAACAAUAAACACUAAAACCCUAAACCAUAAAUCCUAAACCCUAAACCUUUGAGCGUUUUAGUGUUUAAUAUUUUUGAUUUAGAGUUUAGGAUUUAUCCAAGGGUUUAAGAUUUACCCAAGGGUUUAGGUUUUAGGAUUUGGGGUUUAAGGAUUAGGAUUUAGUUUUUUCUUGACGAUGUUAAAAGUAUUUUUUUUGUAAUUACUACUAUUUUUAAUUUAUUUUUUAUUUUAAAUAUAUAAUAUAACCUGAUAAUACUUUGUUUCUUUUAAUAAAAGAUAUCGAAUUUGAAAUAACACAAUCCUAUUGGUUGGUGAACCUAGAGGUUCGCCCUAGGGGGCGAACCCAAGAAUAAGUCAAAUAUGUAUAUAGACUUUCGUCCCAUUUUAAACCAACUUAAUAAGGGUUUUCUAUUUUAUGAAGUAAUUUUUUACUAGAGGUGGGUAUUUGGAUAUCCGUUCGGGUUUGAUUUUGUAUUUAUUCGAGUUUUAAAUUUUUGGAGUUAGAAAGUUAAACUUCACUCGGGUAUUUAUACAUUUUGGUUUGAAUUUAUAUAAGAUUUUUGCGGGUUUGGUUCCGGUUCAGUAUCCAUUUAAAUUACUUUAAUAAAAUAAAAAAUAUAUACUUAAAAAUUCUAAAAGUCCAAAAAUAAAAUAACAUAUAGCAUAUAAGUUUGAAUAGUUUAUGUCUUAAUAUCUAAAUUAAAAUAAAAUUGUUUUGUUAUUGACAUUUGGAAGGAAAAAUUGUUACGUAUUUUGAGUACUUUUGGUAUUUUGAAUAUAUUUUAGCCAUUUUGGAUUUUGGCUGCUUGUAUAUAUUUCUAGGUAUUUUAGACACUUUCAAAAAUGUAUAGUUUUAGAUAUUAGAUUUAAAAAAUUAAUGUAUUUAGAUAAAUAAUAUAUAUUUGGAUAUUUUUGGAUACCUAAAAUAUUUCAGUUCAGAUAAGUUUGGUUUCGAGUUCUUCAAAUACCAAAAUUUUGACUUCAUCUGGAUAUUUAAUCAGAUUCGGUUCAGGUAUAGUAUUACUUUUCAGAUAAAUUUCGAUUCAGUUCUUCGGGUCUGGGCAUUUUGCCCAGCACUAGUUUUUACCUUCCUUUUUAAAAUAAUCGUUCAUAAGAUAUCAUGCGAGGACAUGAGCUACACAUAACAUGCAGAUGCGGAUGACUGUUUUUGUUCGUCACUUGUCACUCACUUCACAGCGAUACACACACAUGCAUGCAUUAUUACACGUGAUCGCCAUGCAAAUCUCCAUUCUCACCUAUAAAUUACGUCCUCAGCUUCACACUUUACUCAAAUCAAAAUCAUCAUAAUUACAAACAAGGUUAAAAACAUACACAAAUGGCGAACAAGCUCUUCCUCGUCUCGGCAACUCUCGCCUUCUUCUUCCUUCUCACCAAUGCCUCCGUCUACAGGACGGUUGUGGAAGUCGACGAAGAUGAUGCCACAAACCCAGCCGGUCCAUUUAGGAUUCCAAAAUGUAGGAAGGAGUUUCAGCAAGCACAACACCUAAGAGCUUGCCAGCAAUGGCUCCACAAGCAGGCAAUGCAGUCUGGUAGUGGUCCAAGCUGGACCCUCGACGGUGAAUUUGAUUUUGAAGACGACAUGGAGAACCCCCAGGGCCCACAACAGAGGCCCCCGCUACUCCAGCAGUGCUGCAACGAGCUCCAUCAGGAAGAGCCACUUUGCGUUUGCCCAACCUUGAAAGGAGCAUCCAAAGCCGUUAAACAACAGGUUCGACAACAGGGACAACAGCAGGGACAGCAGGGACAGCAGCUGCAGCAAGUAAUUAGCCGUAUCUACCAGACCGCUACGCACUUACCUAGAGUUUGCAACAUCCCGCAAGUUAGCAUUUGUCCCUUCCAGAAGACCACGCCUGGGCCCUACUACUAGAUUCCAAACGAAAUCCUCGGGAAUGUAUAUACCGCGGUGAUGAAUGUGGUUGUUGAUGUAUGUUAACACUUCAUAGUCAUGGUGUGUGUUCCAUAAAUAAUGUACGUUAAAAUGUUCGAGG
rnacentral:lncRNA from 1 species